GGCGCACGGUGGAUGCCUUGGCACUAGGAGCCGAUGAAGGACGGGACUAACACCGAUAUGCUUUGGGGAGCUGUACGUAAGCUAUGAUCCAGAGAUUUCCGAAUGGGGGAACCCAACAUCUUUAAUAGGAUGUUACGAUUGUGUGAAUACAUAGCACAUUCGAGGUAGACGCAGAGAACUGAAACAUCUAAGUACCUGCAGGAAGAGAAAGAAAAUUCGAUUCCCUGAGUAGCGGCGAGCGAAACGGGAAAAGCCCAAACCAGCAAGCUUGCUUGUUGGGGUUGUAGGACUCCAAUAUGGUAGUUCUUUCAGAUAGUCGAAUGACUUGGAAAAGUCAGUCAAAGAGGGUAAAAACCCCGUAGACGAAAUGUGGAAGACACCUAGGAGGAUCCUGAGUACGGCGGAACACGAGAAAUUCCGUCGGAAUCCGGGAGGACCAUCUCCCAAGGCUAAAUACUCCCUAGUGACCGAUAGUGAACCAGUACCGUGAGGGAAAGGUGAAAAGCACCCCGGAAGGGGAGUGAAAUAGAACCUGAAACCGUGUGCCUACAACAAGUCAAAGCCCGUUAAUGGGUGAUGGCGUGCCUUUUGUAGAAUGAACCGGCGAGUUACGAUUGCAUGCGAGGUUAAGUUGAAGAGACGGAGCCGCAGCGAAAGCGAGUCUGAAUAGGGCGUUUGAGUAUGUAGUCGUAGACCCGAAACCAUGUGAUCU
rnacentral:rRNA from 1 species